rnacentral:rRNA from 1 species
UACAGAGGGUGCAAGCGUUAAUCGGAAUUACUGGGCGUAAAGCGCGCGUAGGUGGUUUGGUAAGUUGAAUGUGAAAGCCCCGGGCUCAACCUGGGAACUGCAUCCAAAACUGCCUGACUAGAGUACGGUAGAGGGUGGUGGAAUUUCCUGUGUAGCGGUGAAAUGCGUAGAUAUAGGAAGGAACACCAGUGGCGAAGGCGACCACCUGGACUGAUACUGACACUGAGGUGCGAAAGCGUGGGGAGCAAACAGG